rnacentral:rRNA from 1 species
AUUGAACGCUGGCGGCAGGCUUAACACAUGCAAGUCGAGCGGGGAAAGGUAGCUUGCUACCUGACCUAGCGGCGGACGGGUGAGUAAUGCUUAGGAAUCUGCCUAUUAGUGGGGGACAACGUUCCGAAAGGAACGCUAAUACCGCAUACGUCCUACGGGGGAAAGCAGGGGAUCUUCGGACCUUGCGCUAAUAGAUGAGCCUAAGUCGGAUUAGCUAGUUGGUGGGGUAAAGGCCUACCAAGGCGACGAUCUGUAGCGGGUCUGAGAGGAUGAUCCGCCACACUGGGACUGAGACACGGCCCAGACUCCUACGGGAGGCAGCAGUGGGGAAUAUUGGACAAUGGGCGCAAGCCUGAUCCAGCCAUGCCGCGUGUGUGAAGAAGGCCUUUUGGUUGUAAAGCACUUUAAGCGAGGAGGAGGCUCCUUUAGUUAAUACCUAAAGUGAGAGGACGUUACUCGCAGAAUAAGCACCGGCUAACUCUGUGCCAGCCGCCGCAGUAACAC